GGGGGUGUAAGCUCAAUGGCAAACUGCCGCUCUCCAAAAGCGGACUUCCCCGUUCGAGUCGGGGCGCCCCCGCAA
rnacentral:tRNA from 1 species